UUAAGUUAUUAAGGGCGCACGGUGGAUGCCUUGGCACUAGAAGCCGAUGAAGGACGUUACUAACGACGAUAUGCUUUGGGGAGCUGUAAGUAAGCUUUGAUCCAGAGAUUUCCGAAUGGGGAAACCCAGCAUGAGUUAUGUCAUGUUAUCGAUAUGUGAAUACAUAGCAUAUCAGAAGGCACACCCGGAGAACUGAAACAUCUUAGUACCCGGAGGAAGAGAAAGAAAAUUCGAUUCCCUUAGUAGCGGCGAGCGAAACGGGAAGAGCCCAAACCAAAAAGCUUGCUUGUUGGGGUUGUAGGACACUCUAUACGGAGUUACAAAGGACGACAUUAGACGAAUCAUCUGGAAAGAUGAAUCAAAGAAGGUAAUAAUCCUGUAGUCGAAAAUGUUGUCUCUCUUGAGUGGAUCCUGAGUACGACGGAGCACGUGAAAUUCCGUCGGAAUCUGGGAGGACCAUCUCCUAAGGCUAAAUACUCUCUAGUGACCGAUAGUGAACCAGUACCGUGAGGGAAAGGUGAAAAGCACCCCGGAAGGGGAGUGAAAUAGAACCUGAAACCGUGUGCUUACAAGUAGUCAGAGCCCGUUAAUGGGUGAUGGCGUGCCUUUUGUAGAAUGAACCGGCGAGUUACGAUUUGAUGCAAGGUUAAGCAGUAAAUGUGGAGCCGUAGCGAAAGCGAGUCUGAAUAGGGCGUUUAGUAUUUGGUCGUAGACCCGAAACCAGGUGAUCUACCCUUGGUCAGGUUGAAGUUCAGGUAACACUGAAUGGAGGACCGAACCGACUUACGUUGAAAAGUGAGCGGAUGAACUGAGGGUAGCGGAGAAAUUCCAAUCGAACCUGGAGAUAGCUGGUUCUCUCCGAAAUAGCUUUAGGGCUAGCCUCAAGUGAUGAUUAUUGGAGGUAGAGCACUGUUUGGACGAGGGGCCCCUCUCGGGUUACCGAAUUCAGACAAACUCCGAAUGCCAAUUAAUUUAACUUGGGAGUCAGAACAUGGGUGAUAAGGUCCGUGUUCGAAAGGGAAACAGCCCAGACCACCAGCUAAGGUCCCAAAAUAUAUGUUAAGUGGAAAAGGAUGUGGCGUUGCCCAGACAACUAGGAUGUUGGCUUAGAAGCAGCCAUCAUUUAAAGAGUGCGUAAUAGCUCACUAGUCGAGUGACACUGCGCCGAAAAUGUACCGGGGCUAAACAUAUUACCGAAGCUGUGGAUUGUCCUUUGGACAAUGGUAGGAGAGCGUUCUAAGGGCGUUGAAGCAUGAUCGUAAGGACAUGUGGAGCGCUUAGAAGUGAGAAUGCCGGUGUGAGUAGCGAAAGACGGGUGAGAAUCCCGUCCACCGAUUGACUAAGGUUUCCAGAGGAAGGCUCGUCCGCUCUGGGUUAGUCGGGUCCUAAGCUGAGGCCGACAGGCGUAGGCGAUGGAUAACAGGUUGAUAUUCCUGUACCACCUAUAAUCGUUUUAAUCGAUGGGGGGACGCAGUAGGAUAGGCGAAGCGUGCGAUUGGAUUGCACGUCUAAGCAGUAAGGCUGAGUAUUAGGCAAAUCCGGUACUCGUUAAGGCUGAGCUGUGAUGGGGAGAAGACAUUGAGUCUUCGAGUCGUUGAUUUCACACUGCCGAGAAAAGCCUCUAGAUAGAAAAUAGGUGCCCGUACCGCAAACCGACACAGGUAGUCAAGAUGAGAAUUCUAAGGUGAGCGAGCGAACUCUCGUUAAGGAACUCGGCAAAAUGACCCCGUAACUUCGGGAGAAGGGGUGCUCUUUAGGGUUAACGCCCAGAAGAGCCGCAGUGAAUAGGCCCAAGCGACUGUUUAUCAAAAACACAGGUCUCUGCUAAACCGUAAGGUGAUGUAUAGGGGCUGACGCCUGCCCGGUGCUGGAAGGUUAAGAGGAGUGGUUAGCUUCUGCGAAGCUACGAAUCGAAGCCCCAGUAAACGGCGGCCGUAACUAUAACGGUCCUAAGGUAGCGAAAUUCCUUGUCGGGUAAGUUCCGACCCGCACGAAAGGCGUAACGAUUUGGGCACUGUCUCAACGAGAGACUCGGUGAAAUCAUAGUACCUGUGAAGAUGCAGGUUACCCGCGACAGGACGGAAAGACCCCGUGGAGCUUUACUGUAGCCUGAUAUUGAAAUUCGGCACAGCUUGUACAGGAUAGGUAGGAGCCUUUGAAACGUGAGCGCUAGCUUACGUGGAGGCGCUGGUGGGAUACUACCCUAGCUGUGUUGGCUUUCUAACCCGCACCACUUAUCGUGGUGGGAGACAGUGUCAGGCGGGCAGUUUGACUGGGGCGGUCGCCUCCUAAAAGGUAACGGAGGCGCUCAAAGGUUCCCUCAGAAUGGUUGGAAAUCAUUCAUAGAGUGCAAAGGCAUAAGGGAGCUUGACUGCGAGACCUACAAGUCGAGCAGGGUCGAAAGACGGACUUAGUGAUCCGGUGGUUCCGCAUGGAAGGGCCAUCGCUCAACGGAUAAAAGCUACCCCGGGGAUAACAGGCUUAUCUCCCCCAAGAGUUCACAUCGACGGGGAGGUUUGGCACCUCGAUGUCGGCUCAUCGCAUCCUGGGGCUGUAGUCGGUCCCAAGGGUUGGGCUGUUCGCCCAUUAAAGCGGUACGCGAGCUGGGUUCAGAACGUCGUGAGACAGUUCGGUCCCUAUCCGUCGUGGGCGUAGGAAAUUUGAGAGGAGCUGUCCUUAGUACGAGAGGACCGGGAUGGACAUACCUCUGGUGUACCAGUUGUCGUGCCAACGGCAUAGCUGGGUAGCUAUGUGUGGACGGGAUAAGUGCUGAAAGCAUCUAAGCAUGAAGCCCCCCUCAAGAUGAGAUUUCCCAACUUCGGUUAUAAGAUCCCUCAAAGAUGAUGAGGUUAAUAGGUUCGAGGUGGAAGCAUGGUGACAUGUGGAGCUGACGAAUACUAAUCGAUCGAAGACUUAAUCAA
rnacentral:rRNA from 1 species